AUUAAAAUAAUUGAAAAUUUUGAGCAUAAAACACUUCAUUUCUUGCAUUCUGAUGAAUUUUGAUGCCCCUAUUUCUACCUUUUUCUGAAUCAAUUUAUGCUGGAAAUAUCUUUAUUU